GGGGUUGUUUCCUGGACUAACAUCCCAAUCCAGUCAUUUGGUUGUACCUGAAUUUGGGUAUUGUACGUUGAAUUUAGUGAAUGAAUAAUGCAAUUUUCCAAAAUAACAGGAAAAUUUCCAGCAGUAACCAAAAUAAAUCAGAAAAAGUGAGAAUAUGUAUAUAUAUAGUGAAUUGGCUGAAUACAGCAAUGAACUAUGAAGUCUUGUUGAUACAAUACUCUUAAGCAGCAAAUUGCACAAUUCAAGAGACUAAAUUUCCAGAUUCAUCCCAAUCUCUAGGCAAGUUGGCAUCUAAUCAACAGAGCCUACAGCUGCAAAAUGUACUGAAAUUUGCAUACAAUUUUGUACUUCAGAUUACUAACAUCCGGAAAAGUGGUCACUACCACGGUUUGAGAUCAGCCACUGGACCCGCCGUCCAGUUGAGGAUCUUCUCGCCUGGCUUCAAGUACACACUCUUAUCAUGGGGUAAUUUACGAGCAAGACCAUUCAAAAUCUGAUGGAAAGCGUCCCUUGAUUGAGCAGGUUGCGGGAAUAACAUAGCUUGUUUCAUCGAAGGGUUGGCGAGUAAUCUCUGCUUCCU
rnacentral:lncRNA from 1 species